AGGGACUUCUGGUGGAAGAUUCACUCUGUGUGACACGAGGACAAAAACUGGCAGAGAAACACAGGAACACGUCUAACGCGCUCAGUUUCACGACCACCAUUCAGUGCAGUUCAGGGAGAUAAAGCAGUGCUGGAUCAUCAGCCCACAGUCUCAGAGGAUUCAGCCACAGUCUUCACCUGCAUCCAUUUAUUUGUGCUCAGAUGUUUGAGAAUUGCCUUAACACUCACUUGUACUCGAUGUACGAAAUCUGCUGGAAUUCUUCUCCAGUUUCUAGAACAAUACGGACCCCUGCUAUUCAGGCAGCCAUCUUUGAGUAGCGUUUGAGAAAGCCAAUAGAAAGCAACGAUGAUGACGACAUCAUAAGAUUUCUUAAGCUUACUGCUUUGGACCCACACCUUCAGCACAAAUUUGAAGCGGCAACAGGGUCUGGAUCUCCUUAUCAUGCCUAAAAAAAGCUAAUCGUGCCUAAUUAAGAGAAACACUGGCUCACCUUCAACCUCUGAAGCCUGGUCGUCACUGCAGUGGUCUGAUGAUAUCUGAGGGGAGAAGUCAUACACCGCUCUCCUCUUCCUCUUGAUCUGAGGUGAGGGCUGUUUGGGCGGACUCACUCCAUCAGUGCAA